GCUGCUUGUAGGAUGAAAUAGAGGCAAGAUUUUAGGUUUCCAAGAUAUUUAACCUCUCCCAAGGCUAAGUCAAAGGAGGCUCACAAAGGAGAGAACCUAUCCCAUUAUGGACAGCAGAGUAGGAAGCCAGGUCAGAGAGCUGAUGGUGAGGAUGACAGCUUCCAAGAUGUUUCAAAGUGAGAACCUCAAUUGCUGCUCCUGGGCCCAAUGGGAGAGAAGCCUGGUGUGAGUGUGAGUGAAGGAGCAGUGAAUCCAGGAGGCUUCCCUUGUGUGGUGAAGAUGAACAACUACUCAUAGAGGACACUGCAUCAAAAGGUAUCCUGGAUGCUUUACAGCCUUCUCAAAUGGCCCUCGGCACCUGUGCCUUGGACAAGAAUCCUGGCCUUUGCUUUGUGAAGCAGCACGUUCCUGAAGGGCCAAAACAGUGUGGUCAUGGUCACAGCCAAGUAUGGCAGCAGUGAGAAAGCUGAACAAAUCUUUGAACAGGACGACUGAAGUGGUUUGGUUUGGUUUGGUUGGAAGACUGUACUAGCUUGCCAGAGGGAAUUCAGAGGAAACUAGAAUAUUUUCCCAAAGAGAAGCAAGCAGCAACGUUGACCACCAAUGAAGCGUAAUCAGCUCUAAAAUGGAACAUGAUGGCAGUUUGAUAUCUCAUAACAUGAUGCAACAGGUCAAGGUGGUGAAAGGGUGUCUGUCCCUGGUCCUGUGUUGUGUCAGCAGCAGCACUCAUCCAGCUGUACAGCUGCACGAGGAUCGGAUCUGGCUGACUGCUGAGGAUGCAUCUCCAUGUGCUGACACAAAGCAUGGAGGACAGACAGGAUUGCCAUCCUCGGGUUUCUCCACUGCAACUCAGAGAGUCCUAGGGCGUCUGUACCUCUCCUACUUUGGGGACACUAACAGAAUAAAGCUCUGGAUGCCUCAUAUAUAUCUGUGUCCCAGAUGAAAGUCAUUGGCAGAGAAAAGCAAUCAGAGCUUGCCUUUCAGCUUUCCACAUAGUUCCCAGGGGUCUAUAUGCCUUGAAGGCAAAAAACCUUUUGUGCUUAUUGCCAAUACAGAUAUUUUCAUCCUAUUUAUGGAUACAUCAACACUGAAAGUGCCGAGACACACAAGCUGGUGCAGCAUGAGAAAGUCUGGAACAAAGAAUGGUGGGAAGGACAGUGGAUGUAUCCAUGCUUGUUUUCUAGAACACUGCUUAGUCUAAGGAACAGCAUGUGUGCAAACACAGUCAAAUGGCCUCUAGAUCUGAGCUCUUAUCUCUGCACAUCAUCACAUAGACUAACUAUUCAAUCUGCAUCCUGGAGUCAGACUCUCAAGUCCUCAGUGAGAGAAAAUUCUCAUUGGAGUCUGGCAGAAGGAACAUAUCAUUUUGUUCAAAAACACUGAAUAUGCAGUAGCAGCUGUGAGUUGUCAAAUCCAGCAUAGGAUUAUACCCCACAUCAUAUGCUUCAGCAUUUUACACAGACUAUGUUUAAAUUAAUUUUUAAUUAGCUCAUUAUACAGAUAGAAGAUCUGCUCAUCUCAAGUUUUACAACCACAACUUUGCCUGCAGGUCUCUCUAUCAGACAGUUGGAUGAUGGCAGCACCCAACUUCAGCUGGAAGUGUUCAAACCCCGCAGCAAUGAGACUAAUAUUAAAAACUCUGAUAGUAUCAGGCACCACACUCCAUUAUAUCAUGACUGCAUUUCCAUCUUCAUGCUCAGCCUUCUUAUAAAAAGCUUGUGGAGAGCAGAGACUCAUGACAGCUGGAAAACCUACAUGCCACAGAGAGCCAGAGAUAUCAGACUGUGCAUAAUGGUGCUACCCAUAAGCUUGGCAUAGGUUUUGAUAAUGAAGUGCAAGGUAAGCCCACCCAAAGUGAUUCAUAUGAAUUGUUGGUCUAGAGAUCUCAAACCACAGAUCUCCCUCUUCUGGCUGGAGAAGAUUUUCUAGACAUACAUGCCUGAUGAAAUGUGAUGGUGCCAGUGGCCCAUAAUAGUCUGCUUUGGAAAUACCUUCUUUCAUUUGUUCCAAAUCUGUUCCCUGUUGUGAAAUGCACUGCAGAUGUAUGUAGCUUGAAGCAUGAAGAGAAGUGGCUGACAACAUUCAAACUUUACAGACCUGGAAUUAGGGUACUUCUAAAGCCAUUUGUUUAGGUUUGUACAGGAAAUACGUUGCACAGUGAGGGACAGGUCCCAGACCACAUAAAAUCCAAGUAUUGUACUUAACUAAAGAUCAUCCUUAUCUCUCUGGUAUCUGUGUGGUAACAGUUUCUUCAUUAAAUGUUUUUAGUUGCAUUAACAUAUGCUCCUUGGAGCUUUCAAACUAUCCCAGUGUGAAAAGAUGACCAAGUUAUCAUGAGAUUAUUCUGAGAAUUUGUUUUGUCUUUUGUUUUUUUUUUUCUUUCCAUUUGCUAUCAUAAAUGCCCUCAGAGAAGUAAUUUCUAUGAGAUUAGGAGCUGGACAUUUUGUAUGCUUCAGUAUGACUUUUUAAGGAUAGCCACACUUCAAGAGACUGGUUUCACAUUCAUAAGACAGAAGCAAAGGCUGUCAGCUUGACACAAACUGUAAACUUGACUCGAAACUUCUUGUGAAAGUGUAUGAUUUGUUCUUUAUGCUACAGCAAAUCUUUAUGGAAGGAUAUUCAAUCUCAGUUUGUAUGAAAUCAUGUUCUUGGCCCAUGUGUAACUGUACUACACUCCAGUGACGAGAGGUGAUCCAGCUGCAAAGACUCUUUAAGCAUUGUCCAGCCAUUCACACCUCUGGAAUUUCAUAAUAAAUUGAAUCAAGUGAAUGCGUGGGGGGGUUAGACAAUGAGCAGAUCUGAAUGAGUGGUGAAACCAAUGACUCAUCUUAGUUUCCAAUUGCAUUCUUGUACAGACUGUUUAUCUAGGAAGAACAGGGCAGGGAAUGUGUGAGGAUAUAUAUGCUGUUUCUUUAGAGCUGAGAUAGAAAGUUAAUUCCUAAGUAGAAUCUCCACUCUGAAGCAGAGAUGGAAAGCAACUGAUUUGCUAUAGGGCUAUCAUGAAUUUAUUUAUUUUAAUGGCAUUUCUUGUAUUUUAUGUGUAACAAAAGAAGAUAGUGACUUUCUUCAAAGGCCAUCUGUUUGAGAUCCUUCAUUGUUAUUGAUUUCCAUUCAACUCCUUCCAGUUUCUCUAUGAGUUAGUGGCAUUCAAGUACCAAAGCCUAGUCAUAUAUUUGCUGUAGUUUUAUCAAUGCUGUACAAAGCCUCAUCUCUUCUCUAGUUCCUGAUUGUGGUGAGCCCAAGGAUGGAAAAGUAAGCAUUACUGAAGAAUUUCAAUAUCCUAUUUCACUGCAAACUCACAUUAAAUUUGCUAUUCUCUUUGAAGUUAGCAGAAAAGCCCUGACUGACAUCAACUGAGUAUCUGGUUCUGUUUCUGACAACAUUACUGCUUGUCUGGUAUAGCAGCCCCUGUGGCCACUGAGAGUGAAAAGUAGCUGAGGCAGUUUCUCAGAGGCUGGGAAUACUAAGAGCCCAGAUAAUUCACCCUCUAACUAGGCUGGCAUCCCCCUUACCUGUUCUUUUCAGCUUGUGCUGUUAAUGCCACAGCCACUGUGGUAUGGGUCUGUGCUGAAUUGUUAGUAAGAAUACAAAUGAGGACAUGGAAGUAACUGUUGGGCAUGAAAGUAAGCAAAUAUUUUGCUUGCCCAAGAGUGUUAAUGUUCUCAAUGAACCUGCUAUUUCUCUGAAUUUAGAUGUUGCAGAGGAUUUUCUGUAAGAGACAGGUAUCCUGCCUCCAAAAAUAUCUUGUGCCUGAUCUUUCAAAACCCUUCAUAAUGUACCUUGCCAGUUAUAUGUUGCUGAGCAGGAAGGUUGAGAAGAUUAUUUCAGCCGUGGCAAUCAGUUUACACCUUGAACCACAAGAUCGGAUUACUUUUGGCAUUUAAUUUUGAAAUAUUUCCCCCAGAUGUAUGGUACGUUUGCAUGUUUCCUGGAUGAAAUUCAUUUUGUUAUUUCCUGCUCUUAUUUUUAAGCUUUUUCAGGUCCUCUAUGUUAUUUCUCCAUCUUCACUUAUGUUUGCAACACUUCCUAAUUUAGCAUCUUCUGCAAAUUUAAUUUCUAUAUCAACUUUUUAUAUCACCUGAUUAGUGGUUUUAAAAUAUUACUGAAUAUCACUUCAAUUUAACACAGUCUCUGCAAAUUUCCCAAAGGGCAGUUCCCUCAAAUCAUUUGUUCUUGGGGGUUUGUGCAUGGCUGGUGUAUAUGACACUGUGGAUGUACAUAAGACUACUCAUCAGAAAUUGCUGAUGCCAAUUAAUGCUUUCUUUGCUCUGAAAGAAUUAAUCUACAGACAUCUCAAAGGUGUGAAACAGCAUAAUUAGGGCAUAGGGACACGGUUGUGCAAUAGCACAUGUGAGUUUUCUACAGGAAACAUCCAGCAAAAGUGAAUAUAAAGCUGUCACAAAUAUGCUUCAUGUCAUAGGUGAAAAAAUAAAGACUACAAUAGGGAAAGAAGACUCAGAUAGUCCAAGCAAGCCUGAUAUUCUUUUAAGGAUCAGGACUAGUGAAAGGAACGGUAAAGAAAGAGGUUCAGGGGCAGUGGUUUGUAGUGCCCUAAAAUGGUGUGUUGAAUUUUAUUUAUAAGGGGAAACCAGGGAGCUGAGAAAGAAAAGAAUGAAAAGAGAAAAAAUACUCAAGAUGGCCAUUUCAACAAAAUGGAGAAAGUUGUGAGACCAAAAAAAAAAGAUGUUGCUGUUGAUAUAGCUGAGGCAGCAGAUGACUGAUGUAUAAACUCUGAGCCGUAAAAUAAAAAAAGGCUGAAUUUUUAGUUUUUAGGCCCAGUUUUAUGUUACCAUCUAAACAAAUGUAGUUGAAUAUUUCAGGUGACUUUCCACUAAAUGAUUUACUAAUGUCUAAUGUAUCGUUUAAUUUUUAACAUUUUUUGUCAAUUCAGCUUUAUGACAGUUUAGUAAGAGUGUAACAAGUUCUUUAUGUAACCUCUUAGUACUUCACAUAACCUCAUGGUUCUUGGAGAUUAUUUUUUCCUGUGCCUGUUUGACUUUGGUGGAGAUUCCUUACUGGGCUGGCACAUCUCUCUGAAUUGCUUGUUCUUCUUUAUCUGUUGUGAUUGCCUAUAUUCUUAAUACAGAA
ensembl:lncRNA